AUGUUCUUGGUAUUAAAAACAUAUGUGUCACAGAAAUUUAGUUAACAUCUUACAACUGAACAUGUAUGUAUGUUGCUUAGAUAAAUGUAAUCACUGUACAACAUCUAUGAUCUGGGAUUUUGUUUUUAUUUUGAAAUGGGAGCUUUUUUUGUUUACAAGUUCAUUAAAAACUAAAAACUGUUUCUGUAAGGAAAUGAGAUUUUUUUUGAAACAACAAAAAUGCCUUGCUGACUCACUAUGAAAUAAAAAUCUCCCCCAGUUUUUUAAUAGACUAUGUCCAGCCAUUUGUAACAUGAUAUUCCUUUGCAAGUCAGUUAGAUUUAGUGUGAUAACUUUUCCUCAAUUUUUUAAUUUUGAAAGUAAUUUUUUUUGUCUGAAGGGGAAAGGCAUUCUUACAUUUUUCUUUUCUUACUGAACUUGCAGGCACGACAAUACCUAGUGCUGCAACUGCCUAAACUUGGUGUUAGAACUCCUGCCCACUGACUAGCAGCUGGACUGAUUUUGAAUAGGAAUGAAAGCAUUAAAGGGUUUAAAUACAAAAUGUUUCUCUUUAAAAUACCUGUGAAAUGGAUAUUAGCAGUUGACUCUCUUCUUGAAGAGUAUGACUGUGUGAGGUACAGCGAAUGUUGACCUUCCCUAAGCCCCCUUCUGCUUCUCUAGGUUAUCUUUGUGCGUGCGCUUCCUUUCAGUCUUAUUUGCACGCUCUUUUCUUUUUCUCUGACCCAAGGGAAAGGAAAACUUACAAUAAUUCUUUAGGUAGUGUAAUUUAUUCAUUUAUAGCAUGUCAGAAUAAAUUAAAAGAACGUUUAUCUGGAAAUGCUGCCGGGAGCCUAUUGUGUAAAUGUAGGUAGUUUGUAAAAUAACCUUGAAAUUGUAAAUUGACACGUUUGAUCAGAUUGUGUCAGGUUUAAUUUGUUUUUGGUUCCUUCUUUUAAUUUGAAAACUACUUCAGCAAUAAUUAAUUCCAUGAUUGCCACAUUCUGUCAUUAAGGGAUAUAUUAGUACCGUGAUACUGAAGAAAUGUCCUAAGUUUGAUAUUUGGGGGUAGGCAGCCUCUUUGUUUCUUUCCUAUCCACCCUAGUGAGUUAAGGUAUUUGUUUCUUGACUAAUAGACCCUUUGAUACUUUUAGCCAGAAAUCAGUCUCAUAAAGCUAUUUUUGAGUAUAGUUUGUGUAAAAUAAAAAUGUUUAGCUUCGGUAAUAACUUCCAAGCUGAACUCCCUCUAGCAAGAUAUUUUUCAGUGCUUUUAUUUACUAUGCACUUAGACUAUGCACUUUUUCUGAAAUAUUUUUGUAACACUUUUUUGUAUUUUUGCCAUUUGAAAAGGUUUUGGUGUAGUUGGUCUGUAAUUAAGUUGCAGAUUUAAAACUGCUGUUAGCUUUGUAAAUCAGCAUAUAGGUGUUUUUGUCCUGGUAUAUCUUCAUUCCAUCUGCAGCUGGAGCUGGAAUCCCAUUGAUCUUCUAGCUACCAUUUUCUUCACAGUUCACAAAAGAAGAAUGAAAUUCAGUGAAUGCUGUUACUAAUCCUGUUGGGAGAUGAAUCUCAUUUCACCAAAAUUAAAUUAUGUUUUCCCACUAAAAUGAAGACACAUCACUCUGAAAUUGGAAGACCUCACCACUUAAGGCUCCACAGUGGCUUACUCAGCUGAACUCUAGGUUACUACUCUUUACUUUGUUCACCCAUUGGGGGUUGCAGUUUUUUAAAUGUUGGGAGAUGGCCAUUCUAACUACUGUUGAAUGUCUCUGUUUUGGGAAGGUAUAACAAGAAAUAAAAAAGAAUAUAUAUGAA